AGAUCAGCAAGGACCAGAUGAGAAUCUGUCUUCCAUUAUGGAUCAGCUGCCAGCAGGCAAACCUGAAGAACUUCAGAGAUCAGAUUCUGAAGAACCCAGUUUAUUCCCAUCUGGAGUGAAUGGAAGUGCAGUGACGAUAAACUCAGCUCCACAGCCACAUCAGGAGGCUUCUGUUGUGGGUGAUGAGGAGUUGGGCAACUCUGUCCCUGAGGCUGACUUGGCUUCACAGGCCAUGGGUAAGACUGUAGAUGGGGACAGGACUCAUCCUAAAAACACUACACCUCGCUUUGAAAAUUCAGUGGACAGUGGGCCUCAGGAAGAGUUAAACAAGAAGCAGCUUACAGAAGUGCAUGGAGUUGAUUUAAAUCCUGCAGUUUCUGGAAAAGUGCCAACUGAUCCAAGCUCCAAACUAGAACAGGAAACAUGUGAAAAUAUCCAGAGGAGAAGGCUUUACCUGUCAACCCUGGAGAAGCGUGAAUUAUCUACACUGAGUCCAAUUUCAGCCUCAUUUCAUUUCACGGAUAUGUGCCUAGAAGAAUCCAGCUUCAACAAAGAAUCAGAAGAGCCAUUGGAAACUGGAAGUGACAGUGAAGAGGAAGAGGAAGAGGAAGAACAAGAACAAGAAGGAAGGAUCAAAAAGACUGAAAUAGAUUUUGAGACUGCAAAUCGGCAGAGACAAGAUGGCCUGUGGGUUCAUAGGAAGAGUAGCAAGCAAAUGCAUAUUGAUGGCCAGCAGAGUCUCACGA
rnacentral:lncRNA from 1 species